AGGCACAUGGUGCAUCGCCCAGGGACUUGAGUUCCACCUGUAACCCAGGAAGUAACAGGCUGCACCACGCACAGCUGUGCUGAGGAAUAAGCGAGAAAGCAGAAAUGACCUCACGCAUCGCAGCUUUCCCGACCCUGUUCCUCCCACUGCAUUUACUCUCUUCCUCGACGUCCCUGAUCCACCAUCGCAGCCCUGCACGUCCUCCACGCAGCUCCGAGGCCUCACAGCAGCAGGGAGGCUUCAGCUCCUUCUCCCCGUAUCACGGGCGGCUCUGUGCUCAUUGGCGCGUCUCCCCUUGGCUUCCAACCCGCACUGCACAGCUGCCCUCAGCCAGGGGCUCCUCCUGACUGGCGUCUUUAUUUUGUCCUCUUCCGGGGGACAGAAUCAUGCUGCCAAUGAGUUCUGCCAGCAUGGCGGAGACACCGGCACCGCGGUCUGCGGAGAUGAGAAGAUGUCCGUCCCGUGUCUCUGCCUGUGCUGUCUGUCUUUCUGAAGUUCCGCUGCUGUGUCCCAGUGGAGAGUUCUCUGAUUCACUGCCGAGAUCUUCCAUGCUUCUGGUUUGGUGAUCUGCGUCUUUCUGAAGGAAUCACUUCCCACGGCACUGCCUCUGCCAGGCCUCCAGCUUCCCUUUCCGCCGCUGCCGCGGUUACUCGGAUGCUCCGUCUGCCGCCAGGACCUUGCCAGCUCGUCUGCAUUUCCCAUCCUCUGUUCUCCAUGCUUCCUUCAUCAGGUGAAGUCUGGAGUCUCACCAGAAUUAAUUUUUAAAUAUAUGAUGGGACACAGGAACAGCUGAAUUUGUCCACUUGGCUGUUCCCGCGUUUUGGCCCCCUGCAUGGAAAUGCCAUUCUUCCUCAACAGAAACACACGGAUGGACCUGCCAAACACCCGCCGCUUCGCUGUGGCGUCCGUCCCUCAUUCUCUGACCGGUUGUCCCUGCCGAGCCUGUGCCAAGCUGUGUCAAUGACUAGCUUCACACUGAGUCUGGGCAUCAGGUGGUACCACAGUCCAAGCAGAAAGCAACCUACAGCAGCGCGGGACAGCAGGCUGAAGACAGUAGACCGUUCUGGUCAGCUCACCCUGAGGUCAGGUCGAAAGUCUCACACACCCACUCCAGACACACAGGCACAGGCACCCGGACUGGAGGCUCCGCCCCGAGUGAACGCCUCAGACUCCUCCCUUGUGAUAUGACCGGCUGCACAUCCUCGACUACAUCCAGUCUGGGUGACCCCUCUGCUAAGGAAAGGUCGCCACACUUGUGCACCCCUGAAGACUUCGCUCUGCUUACAAAUGAGCUUCGAGUGUUAGGGUGCAGAUCCAGGUGUCCUCCAAGGGCUCUGAGAAGGGUGCGGUAUGCAUCACUGGAUGCAUCCAUGGAUGGGCUCACAGCUACUGCUGUGAGGAGGUGGCCUGGUUGGGAGAGGUGGGUCGCUGAGGGGAGGGUAUCCCCUCCUCGGCCCCUCCCUUUGCCCUUGCUUCCUGGCUGCCAUGGGGCGAGCAGUCCUCUGCCUGGUGCUUCCCGCCAAGCUGUUUCUGCCCCGGGCCAACUUACCAUGGACCAAAUGCCCUAAACCGAAAGCCAGUUUAAACCUCUCCCCCUUCUGAACUGUGGCUGUCAAGUGUUGUGUCCAGGACUGGGAAAGCAGACUAAUACACUGAGUCUCAGCCCAGUUCUAAGCACAAUUAUUUUAACUCAUUUUCCACGUUGCUGUGAACUUGAAGUGACUAUCUCAUUUGUAUUAUUUUUGCCUAUUUUUUGCCAUUGGGGGCAAUUAAGAGCUUGUUUUCUUUAUUUUCAACAGGAAAAAGUCUCCUCCACUAUACUGCUCGGGAAAAUAAAGAUUAAUGGCAUUUAAUUUACACUGUCAAGAUUCUGCCUUAGGGGGAAAAUGCAGGUCAUAUACUUAUAAGCUAUUACCUGGGGACACCAAUAAAGCUAAUUCUCUGCUCCAUACA